rnacentral:lncRNA from 1 species
GGGCUAGGGGGAGGCGGCUCUGGACUACCAGGCACUGCACAGCUGUAUCCCAGGCUGGGUGACCCUGAGCCCUUUCUGGGUCCCACACUGUCACACGGCCUGGGUGGAGAGGUGGUUACACAGCAGGGCGACAGACCUGUGAUUUGGCAAAGCCCUGCCUGUGGGUCUCAGCUCUGAUCCCUGCCGGACGAGACCUUGGGCAGCGGGCACAGCUCUCCAGGCCUCAGCGCUUCCGCCUCUACUGGGCAGUCUGGGCCCUCUCUCACCGCAGCUGCCCCCAGGUUGGAGUGGGGGAGCAGCUGGCUCCUACCAGCUGUGGUGGCCACAGGCCCUCUCCCAGCCCUGCCUGGGGGGACCCUCGCCUUGGCAUCUCCAAGCUGGCCACGAUGGGAUGUUUACAGCACAGGGCAGGGCACGGUCACUGCUGUGCUCUGCCAGCCGCCUCUCCAGCCCGUCCCUGUCCCCACACCUGGGCUGCAGUGAGGAUCAUGAAGGGUGGCAACUGGGCUCCAUGCUCCUGCACUCCAGGCGGGCUUCGGCAGACAUUCGAGGGGAAGCCCUGAGACAGGGUGUCCUCACCAGGCAGGGUAGAAGGAACAGAGGUAGGUAGGAGGGAGACAAGGAAAACUGGAAAUUUAAAAUUGAACUAAAAAAAAAUAGUGCAGCUUCAGGACACAGAGUUACUGAAGCCUUUUUCCCUUCCAGGAAAUGCACUAAAAAAAAAAAAAAAUCUCCCUGGGGUCUUCAGACACAGCGACCCUGUGACUUGGGCUCUGGGCCGAGCUUUGCACCUGUGAGCGGCGCUUCCUCCUGCAGACUCCGCCCUGCAGGAAGCAGCAGCAGGAGCAGGCAGCGGAUCUCAGCUUCACACAGGGAAACGGUUUGCAGGUUUGCACUGCGACACAGCCACCGGGUGGGUGACUGACGGACAGCAGAACACAGACCCCAGAUCGCCCAUCCCGAAGACACCCAAGCCCCGUAAAUACAUCAGGCUCCGGUCAUAAGGAGCCCCCCUCCCUUGAGGGCCCACACUCUAUUUCUUUGAGCGUGUACUUUACAUUUCUGCCUAAUAAAUCCCUUUAUGCUGCUUACUGAUGCUUCUGAAAAUUCCUUUUUUGCAACAAGUCAGUGAACCUGCAACUUAAUUUUGUGAGUAGAAUGGGUUAAAGAACCCCCAGGACCCUGUCCAGUGACACUCAUCCCACUGCCCAGUGCUCCCAGAUCCCACUCAGUGGGUUCACAGCUGUCAGGACCAGCAGUCUAUCUUGGGGGACCC